rnacentral:rRNA from 1 species
AAUUCGCCUUAAGCAAUUGGGGCUACCGAAAGGGCUGCUAAUACCCAAUAAUACUAUAGGUGCAAAAGCACCUUGUGGUCAAAUGCUAGGAAUAUCUGUUCCUUGUGCUUAAAGAGGGGUUAAUGUCCUAUCAGCUAGUUGGUGGGGUAAUGGCCAUACCAAGGCAAAGACGGGUAGCCGGCUUGAGAGGGUGGUCGGCCACACUGGGACUGAGACACUGCCCAGACUCCUACGGGAGGCUGCAGUCGAGAAUCUUUCGCAAUGCCCGAAAGGUGACGAAGCGACGCCGCGUGUGGGAAGAAGGCCUUCGGGUUGUAAACCACUGUCGGGAGUUAGGAAAUGCAGGUGCGUUAAUAGCGCACUUGCUUGACUAAGGCUCCAGAGGAAGCCACGGCUAACUCUGUGCCAGCAGCCGCGGUAAUACAGAGGCGGCAAGCGUUGUUCGGAAUUAUUGGGGUAAAGAGCACGUAGGCGGCUUGCAAGUAGUUGUGAAAGCCUUCCGCUUAACGGAAGAACGGCAUCUGAUACUACAGGGCUUGAGUACGGGAGGGGAGAGUGGAACUUUGGUGGAG